GAGAGCGCUUAGCACGCUAAGCCGAACUCCUUGGCGAGGAAGCUCCCAGCUUCCAGGCGCGUUUCCAGGUCUUUUGGGUGGUUUCUUGGCGUUUUCCGUCGUCGGCGCGCGGGACGGAAAAGCCGCCGCCAUCUCCUUCCCGCCCAGCGUGGCUGAGGGGAGCGGGGGCACCUGUGGGCGCCGCCGACCCGGACCCUGAGAACGGGCGUUUGGAACGCUACGGCUCUGCAGUAACUUUUCCAGCAGACUCAAAAUGAACUGCCAGAACAUCUUCAGAGAUGGUUCUCCUGAGCAAUCAGCUGUCUGAUCUGAGUGCAGCCCCAUGCAAACACCAGCGUCAGCAGAAGGGACCUUCUGGAGCGUGGUGUCACAUGCCAAGCUCAAGGAGUACAGCAGAAGAGUAUGGGUGACCUUGAGUCACUUGCUUUUGAGCAGACCAGAAUAUUGAAAGCUUGAUUCCUUUUACUGCACACUUUUCACUUUUUUUUUUUCUUAAACUAGAAACUAAAUUGAAUUCUUUUAAAUUAAAUGUUAGCUUCCAAGCUGAAGACAAGACCUGUCAGUGGCCUGGUUACAGAGAUCAUCAGCUUCCUGCUCUUGCAUGCUUUGUUUUUCCUCUUAACCUUUAUUCUCUCUGUGUGCCAUGCCAGCAAGGUUGUUUUAUCCCCAGGAGGCCUCUUCCCCUCCCCUGGCUGCAGUGCUCCUCAUCUGGGAAUAUUUGCUCUGGUAAAGUGCCAGCACAAUUCUUCUAGAGGAGUAAUUUAGAUAAAUGCAAGUCUUGGGCAAAACUAAAAUUCUUAAUCCAAGUUUGGGACUGGAUUAAGAGCAAGAACAUGAAUUUUCAAAAUUCACGUCCCAACACUGAGCUAGUAGUUUAACUGGAGUCCUGACCUCAUGUCUGGAAUGCUGUUGGAAACCACUGGAAGCCACAAGCAACAGAGUCAGUUUUAAGUUUACCCACAUUUAAAUUUUAGCACUUGACUUUCACUGCUCUUUUAGCAUUUUAAAUUUUUUAACAGGGUCCAUGUCUAACUAGGCUUUGGUGUCACAGCACCCUGAGAAGACAAAUCCAAACUGAUUUACCCCAAAUACAGAAUACUCAAAAUUUGGCCACAAAUAUGUAAGUUCAAACAAGGAAUUUCUGAGCAUGAGAGACUGCCACUAGAAACUGAACCACUACCAAAGUGGUCCAGGCAGCUUCUCUUGUACAUUUGUACCUCCUUCAGACUUUCUAGUGGUGAAGCGCACAUUUGCAGUGUUCCUUUGGAGAACUUUUCCUGUCUGGUUAGCAAUGUCCCUGUUAAAAUAACCAGCAGUGGGGUGGGAAGUGGGCUGGAGCCUGCUCUCCAACACAGGAGGGAAAAUUUUAACUCCUCUCCCCACUCCAGUUGUUAAAUUGGCCCAUUCUUCCUGAUAAUCAUUGCUGAAAUCACAAGAUCCACAAAAGACUGCAGACUUCAAGGCUCAGGAAAAGCUGAGAAUAUUGAAAAGGAUUUAAGAUUUCAAGGGUGUUCACAACCAAAAAAACAGGCCCCCCAAAAAUACUGAUGUGAGACUGGGAAGUGAUUACCCAAGAAAUCACCCAGAAAAAAGUGCUGGGCGACUUAUUUACAAAAUAAAAAUCGGAGUGUCUCA